AGAAUCACUGGACGUGUGUGAAGUGACUGAAGGAAGAAGAGAGGAAAGGAAUGAUUGUGUUAAGUGGCAAAAACCCAGCCAUGGAGCGAGCAAGCUCCAUUCUGAAAGUGCUGCAUUAAAGCCAGCCCGGAAGGACUGGACCCAGACCUUAGCUCCACCCCAUGAAUGAAGAAGCAGAGAUCAUGCAAGGUGUUUCCAUCCAAAAGUAGGCAUCUCAUGUCAUCUGCUCUGGCCAGUAUUUAACCUUGAGAAAAGAAGAAGUGUAGAGAUGAUGUACUUGCCUGAGGGAUGGAUUAAAAAGUCUUUGGUCUUCUCUGAACGGUACUACUGAAUUUAUCCUCAUCACCGUCAUCAUUGUCAUUGUCAUCAUCAUCAUGAAAACAGGAGCAGAGAGAGGAAUGCUAUGAAGCUAUUAUUGUUCAAAAAAGACCUGGAGACAGCGGAUUGAAAAUCUCACAGCCAAAACGCAAUCUGGUGACUACCUUCUCUGGCUCUCAUUUGCUGACUUUGGAAGUUUGAAAAGAAGAAAACAGAAGGCCGCAGUGUAUCGGAAUUCUGCCCCUCCUCCUGCACUACUGCCUCCCCCACCACAUGAAAGCUGCUGAGCAAACAGAGAAAUCAAAGAUGAUUAUACGCUGCUGGAAACCCGCGUGCUUCCGCCUGGCUGCAUCUCCCUGCCAAACUGUUAUGUAAGCCGCAGCCCCACUCAGGCCUGGAAUCAAACAGAGAUGCCAUUUAGAGCCCUCCCGUGACCCGCUCCUCACCUGUAGCCUGGCUCAAACCGUGUCUCACCUGGAGUAGACCUGCCCAGGGAGGGCCAUGCAUGCUCUGUGGCUGGCAAAGUGGCUUUUCCAUUUGUUUUGGGAUUUCCCUCUCUCCUUUCCCAUCCAGCACAGAGGUAUGGAUGGGUCAGGACCAGGCGUUUACUUUGGUUAGAUUCCAAAUGACUAAGAUAUUUUAUGAUGGAAAACUCCAUUUGACAAUCCCAGGGAGUUGAGUGUUUUUCACCCUCCUAAGUGAAUAAUUCACUUUGGCUGUUUAGAUAUCAGAGCUGAACAAGUGGCUCUGGAGCCCAAGAUGACCUCCUGGCCAGAAAGGGCCUAACCGCACUGCUCUGAUGACCAGUACUUAUUUCUAUUUAGGGAUUCUGGGCAUCUUCCGCAGCCCUAAACCACCUAAAUGGACUUAUAAGAGCUGUUCCUUAAAUGCGUCAGUGACUUGGGUAAAUGAGCUGAAUUCUCAGGGCUUUAUUUUUUUUUCUUUCUGCAUCACUCAAUGACUCCACAAUAAGUGUGCUACAAGUUUUAAAUGCUAAUAUUGGAUUUUGGACACUGUUACAGUUAUAUCUGAAGUAAGAUGUCAGGCUGUUUGGCGUUAACAGUGCCCAAGAGUUUAUAUUCGUAUCUAUUCAACGCUGACCUCCAUUACUCUCUCCCUUUUGCAGCCUUAACUGACCAUGCUCCAGUGUGAGGGACUCAGAUCUCAAGUAGAAGAGGCCUGAACUUUGGAGUCAGAUAACGCCUGUAUUGGAGCUAUAGCUUAGUCUUUCAGAGCCUAUGGGACCUUGUGCUGUGGCCCGAACCAUGCUAAAUCCCUGGAGCCUCCCGAUUUCCCUUAAUUUUCCUACAUUCCAUCAGAAAUGCACAAAGAUUCCAAGAGGGCCAAUUCUGGCUUUGGAAAAUGAUUCACCAUCCUCCACCUCUCACUUGUUCCAGUAUGGAAAGGGUGAACAGGAAACCCUUUGCUAUUUGGUGAGAUCGACCCAGGAGUGAGGCAUUAGACUGGAAUCUCUGGACCCUCAUCUUUUUUUUUUUUUUUUUUUUGACAGAGUCUUGUUCAGUCACCCAGGCUGCAGUGCAGUGGCACGAUCUCCGCUCACUGCAACCUCCUCCUCCCAGGUUGAAGCGAUUCUUCUGCCUCAGCCCACCGAGUAGCUGGGAUUACAGGCGCAUGCCACCACAUCGGCUAUUUUUUUGUAUUUUUAGAAGAGGCAAGGUUUCACCCUGUUGGCCAGGCUGGUCUCGAACUCCUGACCUUGUGAUCCCCCUGCCUCAGCCUCCCAAAGUGCUGGGAUUACAGGCAUCAGCCAACACACCCAGCCCUGGCCCUCAUCUCUUUUCCCAUUAAUGCUGGAGGGGGCGCCUCACAAACCAAGACACCUGCUAGUCGUUGGACUCACUCUUGAUGACCAAGGUGCCGUAUCUAGUAAUUGAUACAGUUAUCUUUUCCUGGGAAUAUGAAUAGCAGGUUCUUAGUCCUUGCACAGGCAUUUUAAAAAUGCACAAACCAAAGAAAAAAA
ensembl:lncRNA LINC01344 long intergenic non-protein coding RNA 1344